rnacentral:misc_RNA from 1 species
UUUCCGUAGGUGAACCUGCGGAAGGAUCAUUAUUGUUUAACCUAGGAGCGCGGUCUGUCACUGACCCGAAAGGCCGUGCACGCGCGUGAGCCCUUGCACAUAUCCAUCUCACCCCUACGUGCACCCCCGCCUGUGUCCACCUUUGGUUUUCUCGGAGGUGGGCUUACGAUUUCACACCAACUUUCAAUUCAGUGCAUAAUGUUUUUUUUCUUUUUGUGAUUAGCCAAACCAGUCAACUUUAAAAAACAGAACUCUUAGCUCCCGCAUCGAUGGAGAACC